CAACCUCAACUCAUAUGGGACUACCCCCUGAAUUUAAGCAUAUUAAUUAGGGGAGGAAAAGAAACUAACAAGGAUUUUCUUAGUAGCGGCGAGCGAAAAGAAAACAGUUCAGCACUAAGUCACUUUGUCUAUAUGGCAAAUGUGAGAUGCAGUGUAUGGAGCGUCAAUAUUCUAGUAUGAGAAAUUAAUGAUUUAAGUCCUUCUUAAAUGAGGCCAUUUACCCAUAGAGGGUGCCAGGCCCGUAUAACGUUAAUGAUUGCUAGAU
rnacentral:ncRNA from 1 species